CCUACGGGCGGCUGCAGUGAGGAAUAUUGGUCAAUGGCCGAGAGGCUGAACCAGCCAAGUCGCGUGAGGGAUGACGGUCCUAUGGGUUGUAAACCUCUUUUGUCGGGGAGCAAAGAACGCCACGCGUGGCGUUCCGAGAGUACCCGAAGAAAAAGCAUCGGCUAACUCCGUGCCAGCAGCCGCGGUAAUACGGAGGAUGCGAGCGUUAUCCGGAUUUAUUGGGUUUAAAGGGUGCGCAGGCGGAAGAGCAAGUCAGCGGUAAAAUUGAGAGGCUCAACCUCUUCGAGCCGUUGAAACUGCGUUUCUUGAGUGAGCGAGAAGUACGCGGAAUGCGUGGUGUAGCGGUGAAAUGCAUAGAUAUCACGCAGAACUCCGAUUACGAAGGCAGCAUACCGGCGCUCAACUGACGCUCAUGCACGAAAGUGUGGGUAUCGAACAGGAUUAGAUACCCGUGUAGUC
rnacentral:rRNA from 1 species